UGGGGAAUUUUCCGCAAUGGGCGAGAGCCUGACGGAGCAACGCCGCGUGAGGGAGGACGGCCUGUGGGUUGUAAACCUCUUUUCUCAGGGAAGAAGAACUGACGGUACCUGAGGAAUCAGCAUCGGCUAACUCCGUGCCAGCAGCCGCGGUAAGACGGAGGGUGCGAGCGUUGUUCGGAAUCAUUGGGCGUAAAGCGCGCGCGGGCGGCCCACCAAGUCCGGGGUGAAAGGCCGGGGCUCAACCCCGCGCAGGGCCCGGGGAGACUGGUGGGCUGGAGGCAGGCAGGGGCGGGCGGAAUUCCGGGUGUAGCGGUGGAAUGCGUAGAGAUCCGGAAGAACACCGGGGGCGAAGGCGGCCCGCUGGGCCUGAAAGGCAGGCGACCCGUGGAGGGCGGCCCGCGAGGGCAGCCCUGCAGGGGACGCCGUAUCCUUGGACCUGACGCUGAGGCGCGAAGGCGUGGGGAGCGAACCGGAUUAGAUACCCGCGUAGUCC
rnacentral:rRNA from 1 species